rnacentral:rRNA from 1 species
GACGAACCGUGCGAACGUUGUUCGGAAUCACUGGGCUUAAAGGGCGCGUAGGCGGACCUCCAAGUCCGGGGUGAAAUCUUUCGGCUUAACCGGAAAAGUGCCUUGGAUACUGGGGGUCUCGAGGGAGGCAGGGGCGGAUGGAACUUCCGGUGGAGCGGUGAAAUGCGUUGAUAUCGGAAGGAACGCCGGUGGCGAAAGCGAUCUGCUGGACCUCUACUGACGCUGAGGCGCGAAAGCCAGGGGAGCAAACGGG